rnacentral:rRNA from 1 species
AGUGAACGCUGGCGGUAGGCCUAACACAUGCAAGUCGAACGGCAGCACAGUAAGAGCUUGCUCUUACGGGUGGCGAGUGGCGGACGGGUGAGGAAUACAUCGGAAUCUACUUUUUCGUGGGGGAUAACGUAGGGAAACUUACGCUAAUACCGCAUACGACCUACGGGUGAAAGCAGGGGAUCUUCGGACCUUGCGCGAUUGAAUGAGCCGAUGUCGGAUUAGCUAGUUGGAGGGGUAAAGGCCCACCAAGGCGACGAUCCGUAGCUGGUCUGAGAGGAUGAUCAGCCACACUGGAACUGAGACACGGUCCAGACUCCUACGGGAGGCAGCAGUGGGGAAUAUUGGACAAUGGGCGCAAGCCUGAUCCAGCCAUACCGCGUGGGUGAAGAAGGCCUUCGGGUUGGAAAGCCCUUUUGUUGGGAAAGAAAAGCAGCAGGUUAAUACCCCGCUGUUCUGACGGUACCCAAAGAAUAAGCACCGGCUAACUUCGUG